rnacentral:rRNA from 1 species
GUACACUCCUACGGGAGGCAGCAGUGGGGAAUAUUGGACAAUGGGCGCAAGCCUGAUCCAGCCAUGCCGCGUGAGUGAUGAAGGCCCUAGGGUUGUAAAGCUCUUUCACCGGUGAAGAUAAUGACGGUAACCGGAGAAGAAGCCCCGGCUAACUUCGUGCCAGCAGCCGCGGUAAUACGAAGGGGGCUAGCGUUGUUCGGAUUUACUGGGCGUAAAGCGCACGUAGGCGGACUAUUAAGUCAGGGGUGAAAUCCCGGGGCUCAACCCCGGAACUGCCUUUGAUACUGGUAGUCUUGAGUUCGAGAGAGGUGAGUGGAAUUCCGAGUGUAGAGGUGAAAUUCGUAGAUAUUCGGAGGAACACCAGUGGCGAAGGCGGCUCACUGGCUCGAUACUGACGCUGAGGUGCGAAAGCGUGGGGAGCAAACAGGAUUAGAAACCCUAGUAGUCC